rnacentral:rRNA from 1 species
CAGCCGCCGCGGGAAUACGUAGGUCCCGAGCGUUGUCCGGAUUUAUUGGGCGUAAAGCGCGCGCAGGUGGUUUAAUAAGUCUGAUGUGAAAGCCCACGGCUCAACCGUGGAGGGUCAUUGGAAACUGUUAAACUUGAGUGCAGGAGAGAAAAGUGGAAUUCCUAGUGUAGCGGUGAAAUGCGUAGAGAUUAGGAGGAACACCAGUGGCGAAGGCGGCUUUUUGGCCUGUAACUGACACUGAGGCGCGAAAGCGUGGGGAGCAAACAGGAUUAGAUACCCCCGUAGUCCCUGUCUCUUAUAC